CAUUAAGAAGCUAAACAGCGUUAACCUUUUAAGUUAAAGACUGGGAGUAACAAAUCUCCCCUUGAUGA
rnacentral:tRNA from 1 species